UUAUGACAGCUAUAGCUAAAAGCUACACAAUAAAGGAGCAAGCAAAUCUUAUGACACCAAAGCUAUAUAGCAAAGACAACAUAUUUACUUCUACAAUUUUAAAUUUAGCGAAGCCCAAAAAAUUUGAGCAGACCCAUAUAUUCAGGUAACUUGAAAAAUAAAAUUUAGCUGGAUUAUAAAAUGUACCUACAGCAUAGGACUACAAACCAAUUACUAACACAAAGAAGCCCAAAAUGUGAAAGUAGGAAGUAGGCAGAAGAGAAAGCAACCAAAUUUCAAACAAAACGACAGUAAGGAUUAAAAAAGAAAAUCAAACAAAUAAGUCAGAGCAAAAAGAAGCAAACUUCAACUUAGCAGCUUUCGGAAAAUGGAGCACGAGCACUCAUUACCUCUAAGAUAGGAAACCAUUAACGAGAAAAUUGACAACAUCAAUCAGUAGACGACAAAGCACUAUUGAAAGGCCAAUCAAUUAGAAUGCAGAGUAGAAUCUAACUGAAAAGCCCAAAUCAAGACCAAAGAAAAGAAACAAGAAAAAGAGAGAACCAUAAAAAGCAUACCAUGGUG
rnacentral:misc_RNA from 1 species